CUGUUAAAUAUAUAUGUCUCAUAUAUUCUCAAAUUGCUUUUCAGGAAAGCGGCACGCCACAGCAGCUGGAUUCUUCCACCAACUCGUCCCCUUACAGUCAACUCAGCAAGUAACCACAGGCUCAGCGAUAACUCGGCAAGCCAGAGGGUUGGCGAGAGCGGGCUGAUGACGUCACCGUUUUAGCAGCCCUCUCUGAUUGGACCAGACACACAAACUUUUUUGCACAGCCCUUAUGCUUGUGUUGGAAAACGAGGACAGUGAAAAUGCACUCAAGCAGUUGGCUAAUCACAAAAAAAAAAAAAAAAAAGAUUUAUUUUGAUAAGAAACAACAUGCUCUUCAAGAUUUUCUCUUUUUUUCAAGAAGGAUUCUCAAAUUCCAGAGGACACUUCCCCACCCCUGCCCCCACCGCAUUAUCCACAGUAUGAUGUGAUUUUACAUGCAUGAGAUUGCGAUGUCCCCUCCACCCCCCACUUCUAGGUUUUUAUGAUUUUAUAGCUACGUGCCCCUGCAAAACCUUGUUUGCACUGACUUGUAAAGUAAAAAAAAAAAAAAAGGGUUGUGUUUCACAAUUGUCACAGAAUCACAUGCUUGAAAGAGGUGACCAUGUCAUGAAAAGGUGCCUUCCUAACCACCAUCUUCCAGCGUUUCUCAUUGAACUUGAUCAGGUGUCAUAUUUGCCAUCAUAAUUCCAUCUGAUUGAUCUCACACAGGAAGUGCGGCGCUAUCUAGUCUUCUGGUAGCAAUAAUGAGAGUCCCACUGCAAUACUGAGGGCAGGAAAGGAAAAAAAAAAAGAACGGUGACAAACUCAAAACAAAGGAAUUCUUGUUUUUCUCCUCUUUGUUUUUUGUUGUUGUUUUGUUUAAAUAACUGUCGAAAUGACAUCAAGCAGGAGCUGUGCUUUUUGGAAAUUACACAGAAUUGGCGUAUUUUGUGAUGUGUUUUUUGUUUGGUUGGUUUUUUUGUUUUGUUUUAUUUCCUCUCAUGGUCAGUUUGACCGGUGAUCUACCUCAUGGUUCUGAGUCUGCCGGUGUGGUUGGGUUUGCAGGUAAAGCCCUUUUUUUUCUUUUUUUCUUUUUUUUUUGCACCAGAGUGGAUGAAGCAGAACAAAAGCCACGCUCGGGAGCUGGCCAACUCGGACUUCAAGCGUUACGUCUCCUCCCACUUGCAGCAUUUUCUCGUCCAUGCUUUUGAAACGUGGUCAUUUUGCCUCAUCUUUAUUCCUCAUUACUUAUUGUUUAAGUGUUUUGUUUUUGUCUUGCUCGAGAAAGUGAGUGUAGUUUAGUUUCCAUGCUCCAUUUAGAGCAUUGGUGUCAAACUCAUCUGGCCGCCACUUAGAUUUUUUUUGUGGCACACUGAAAAGCUAAUAGUGUCUUGCCGAAUCAAUUUGUUCUUGUCAUUUUGGGAGAAAAUCUCUCAAAAUUGCAUGUGUCGUCACUUGUUAGAGACAUUACAAAUUUGUUUUUAAUAAGCCCCAAAGGUCUUUAUGUACUUCCUUUUUUUUAAUAGAUUUUGUAUCAUUAUGGACAGAUGUGAGGCUAUCAUUAUGUUUUGUUCGCAUAGAACUUCCUUGCCCAUCACUGGUCAAUUGAUACUGAAGUAACAUUGAAGCCUUUGAGCAACCUGAAGUCAGUACAGGUAAAGCUUUCUCAUUUUUUGAAGUAUCCAUUGAAUCGAGCGAGCGUUUGUUAAUCCUGAGUUGCAGUGCAGCCAUCCAAGAUAGACUUUGCUAGUCGUUGCACUUUCAUCAGAGAUGGUGGUAGCAGGCCGUUUGCUGCUUGGUUGUCAAGAACAAAUCCCAUUUCAAGGAAUUUGUCAUGAAAGCAUAAAUUGUGCUAUGCGUCCGGGCAGUGUGAUGGUAAAGAAAUCUUGUCAAACCGGCUCUGAAUUACAGUUGGGGUUGGGAAAACUUCAAUUGUAGAAUGUUCCUCCAAUGUCAUUUGGCCAGCCAUUGGCAAGUACGUGAUAUGCUUACAAAAACAGCUGAAAAUUAAGCUGUCAAAUGUUGAUGGCCUCAUGUCUGACUGCACAAAAUGGGAAAAAAAAAAGUGUAAAGGGACUUUUGGGACCCCAUGCAUACACUGAUCACAAAGAGUUUAGGAUAUUGGGGCUUUCUGGUGAAAUUCCCGCAUGAACCAAAAAAUGAAGUAUAAACAGGUGAAUGUAAUUCGAAGAGAACUGUUUGAAUGCCAAAUUAAACCAGUAGAUGUAUUAGUCCAUUUACGGAUUACCCUUGAUGAACUUUCCGUUCAAGAAUAAAUACUGAAACAAAUAGUUGCACAUGUGCAUUGAAAGUAUAUAUUUUCCAAAGGAUGUCCACUUCUGUGCCUUUCUGUGAUGCUUCUAGUACCGCUGUUGCAAUGUUCUGGUGACACACUGUGUCCCCCAAAGCUCAGUGGCCACACUGGGCCGACUUCAAUCCGUGCUUAAAGUGUAACAAAUGCUUAUAGUGUCAUUAGCAAAGCACCCGUUGCGAAUUUUGCAGAGAACAGCAAGUCGUGCCAAAAAUACUUAAACUUUGAACAGCUGGACAUUUAAAAGUUAUGACAAGGUCAAAUUAAGCUCACCUGUAAAGCUCUGAGUAUUUUAGGUUCAUCCUGAAACUUCACCUGAAGCUCAAUAGCCAUUUUUUUUUUUUUACUGUAGUCUAUUUGCUUGCCACUACUUUCGAUUCCUCUGAUUUGAAAUUUCAAUUUGCGGUUAUAAGUAACUACAAUCACAAUGACAUGCAGAGGAAAUUGCGUAAUAUGAUGUGAUUAUACAUUUAAAUCAUUAAGUCAUAAAAACCAUCUAAAGGAAACCGUAACUAUGAUGUGGCCCGUGAUGAAAAUGAGUUUGACACCCCAGAUUUAGUGAUUUUGUUUACUUGAGCUCCUUCAGUACUUUUCAGCAAAUGAAUGCAGGCUCCAUGCAUUCCUUUGAUGAAAGAAUCCGCCUUCGUCAAUGCAACACCCCACUGCCCCUGAAAGUUGGUCUGUUUUCAAGGUCACUCUAGGUCAAACCGUUGCUGUAAAGUGAGUGGUACGCAUUGGGAUCUGUUUCUGAUGCGCUAUUUGUUUCAAAAUUGCAAUGAGAAGUCACAUGAGUAAUAAUGCUUGAUGGCCUGUGCUAGAUUGGUUGUUUUUUUUUUUUUUUUUUAUAUAUCUGAAUUGGUGGACAAAUGAGAAAAUAAGUGUAUUGUUUGCUUCGCUUUUCUCCUCAAGUUCACUUGUUUUAAAAUGAACUCUACGCUAUGACACAUAAAAGAAAAAGUCAUAGCUAUGACGGUCAGGUUGUACUACUUGGGUACUAAGUACACACAACAGGGAAAUACUUCAGUAACCAAACUUUUACUGCAGGUGAUUUCACCACAGGGAGGGGAAGGUUAAAGAGGGGAGGGUGGGGAGGGGGCUUGGUUAAUCUUGUACAUUUGAUCCUCAUUGUUCGCCCUGUCACCCUCAACUGAUUCAAACAAUCAUCUCCUUGCUCUCUCCUUUGAAAACAUUUGAAACCGUGCUGAAUAAAAGACUUCUCUUUCUCUGA